UACGUAGGGGCUAGCGUUGUCCGGAUUUAUUGGGCGUAAAGCGCACGCAGGCGGCACGGCAAGUGGUCGGUGAAAUCCUCCGGCUCAACUGGAGGGGUCCGGCCAUACUGCCGCGCUCGAGGUCGCGAGGGGAAGCGGAAUUCCCGGUGUAGUGGUGGAAUGCGUAGAUAUCGGGAGGAACACCAGUGGCGAAGGCGGCUUCCUGGCGCGAUUCUGACGCUGAGGUGCGAAAGCGUGGGGAGCGAUCCGG
rnacentral:rRNA from 1 species